GUCUCCAUCUCUGGGAGCAAAAGAAUCACAAUAUGCCUGUGCAAGAUCUUGCAGGGUGCCAACAACAGGUUUGUAGGCUAGCUUCAUGUACUCCUUAACAGGUAUAAGCUUGAUCUCAGCAGCAACAAGAAGGCCAAGGGUUCCCUGAGACCACGGAAUGGCAUAGUAUAGAUCAGUGUACUCGUUGUCCUUGGUGGCUCUAACAAGAGUGCCAUCAGCCAAAAUAAUUUCAUAGGCCACAACAGUAUCAGCGAACAAGCCAUAUUUGUGGGAGCUUCCUUCUAUACCAUAGCCGUUAAUGAGACCACCAACAGUUAGAUCAUCAAGCUCUGCAACUACAGCAAGGGCAAGAUUCAUGGGUACAGUCACCCUGCUGAUCUGACCCAUGUUGACUAGGGGCUCAACUCUUGCAAUCAUCCGUUCUUUGUCGAUCUCAAGUACAUUCCGGAAAGCAGACAAAUCA
rnacentral:lncRNA from 1 species